GCAUCGGUGGUGCAGUGGUAGAGCACGCGUCCUCACAUAGGAUGAAACGCGGGUGCGAUUCCUUCCUGAGGCA